GGCAAAUUGCUCCUAGCAUUCACGGACUUCGCAAGACUACCGCCCAUCGGUAAUUGAGGAGCCGAAAUCAAAAUAACCCCAUGUUUUAAUUAUCAUUUAAGGUGGAAUCAUAAUCCGCAGGUCCGGGGUUCGAGUCCCUGAUUCGCCACCA
rnacentral:tRNA from 1 species